GACGAACGCUGGCGGCGUGCCUAAUACAUGCAAGUCGAACGCAGUGGGGACGGGUGAGUAACACGUGGGUAACCUCCCAUCAGAGGGGAUAACACUUGGAAACAGGUGCUAAACCGAUACUGAUGGAUGGACCCGCGGUGCAUUGGCUAGUUGGGGGGGUAACGGCUCACCAAGGCCACGAUGCAUAGCCGACCUGAGAGGUUGACCGGCCACACUGGGACUGAGACACGGCCCAGACUCCUACGGGAGGCAGCAGUAGGGAAUCUUCGGCAAUGGGCGCAAGUCUGACCGAGCAACGCCGCGUGAGUGAAGAAGGUUUUCGGGUCGUAAAGCUCUGUCGUUAGAGAAGCGGUAUCUAACCAGAAAGCCACGGCUAACUACGUGCCAGCAGCCGCGGUAAUUC
rnacentral:rRNA from 1 species